UACGAAGGGGGCUAGCGUUGCUCGGAAUUACUGGGCGUAAAGCGCACGUAGGCGGGUUGUUAAGUCGGGGGUGAAAUCCUGGAGCUCAACUCCAGAACUGCCUUCGAAACUGACGAUCUUGAGUUCGGGAGAGGUGAGUGGAACUGCGAGUGUAGAGGUGAAAUUCGUAGAUAUUCGCAAGAACACCAGUGGCGAAGGCGGCUCACUGGCCCGGUACUGACGCUGAGGUGCGAAAGCGUGGGGAGCAAACAGG
rnacentral:rRNA from 1 species